rnacentral:rRNA from 1 species
UACGUAGGGUGCGAGCGUUAAUCGGAAUUACUGGGCGUAAAGCGUGCGCAGGCGGUUUUGCAAGUCAGAUGUGAAAUCCCCGGGCUCAACCUGGGAACUGCAUUUGAGACUGCAAGGCUAGAGUGUGGCAGAGGGGGGUGGAAUUCCACGUGUAGCAGUGAAAUGCGUAGAUAUGUGGAGGAACACCGAUGGCGAAGGCAACCCCCUGGGCCAAUACUGACGCUCAUGCGCGAAAGCGUGGGGAGCAAACAGG